rnacentral:rRNA from 1 species
AGGUAAGCUACUAAGAGCGAAUGGUGGAUGCCUUGACUGGUAAAGGCGAUGAAGGACGUACUAGACUGCGAUAAGCUACGGGGAGCUGUCAAGAAGCUUUGAUCCGUAGAUUUCCGAAUGGGGCAACCCAAUGUAUAGAGAUAUACAUUACCUAUAUAGGAGCGAACGAGGGGAAUUGAAACAUCUUAGUACCCUCAGGAAAAGAAAUCAAUAGAGAUUGCGUCAGUAGCGGCGAGCGAAAGCGCAAGAGGGCAAACCCAGUGCUUGCACUGGGGGUUGUAGGACUGCAAUGUGCAAGAGGUAAGUUUAGCAGAACAUUCUGGAAAGUAUAACCAUAGAGGGUGAUAGUCCCGUAUGCGAAAAACAAACCUUAGCUAGCAGUAUCCUGAGUAGGGCGGGACACGAGGAAUCCUGUCUGAAUCCGGGUCGACCACGAUCCAACCCUAAAUACUAAUACCAGAUCGAUAGUGCACAAGUACCGUGAGGGAAAGGUGAAAAGAACUGAGGUGAUCAGAGUGAAAUAGAACCUGAAACCAUUUGCUUACAAUCAUUCAGAGCCCUAUGUAGCAAUACAGGGUGAUGGACUGCCUUUUGCAUAAUGAGCCUGCGAGUUGUGGUGUCUGGCAAGGUUAAGCAAACGCGAAGCCGUAGCGAAAGCGAGUCUGAAUAGGGCGCUUAGUCAGAUGCUGCAGACCCGAAACGAAGUGAUCUAUCCAUGAGCAAGUUGAAGCUAGUGUAAGAACUAGUGGAGGACUGAACCCAUAGGCGUUGAAAAGCCCCGGGAUGACUUGUGGAUAGGGGUGAAAGGCCAAUCAAACUUCGUGAUAGCUGGUUCUCUCCGAAAUAUAUUUAGGUAUAGCGUUGUGUCGUAAUAUAAGGGGGUAGAGCACUGAAUGGGCUAGGGCAUACACCAAUGUACCAAACCCUAUCAAACUCCGAAUACCUUAUAUGUAAUCACAGCAGUCAGGCGGCGAGUGAUAAAAUCCGUCGUCAAGAGGGAAACAACCCAGACUACCAGCUAAGGUCCCUAAAUCUUACUUAAGUGGAAAACGAUGUGAAGUUACUUAAACAACCAGGAGGUUGGCUUAGAAGCAGCCAUCCUUUAAAGAAAGCGUAAUAGCUCACUGGUCUAGUGAUUUUGCGCGGAAAAUAUAACGGGGCUAAAGUAAGUACCGAAGCUGUAGACUUAGUUUACUAAGUGGUAGGAGAGCGUUCUAUUUGCGUCGAAGGUAUACCGGUAAGGAGUGCUGGAGCGAAUAGAAGUGAGCAUGCAGGCAUGAGUAGCGAUAAUUAAUGUGAGAAUCAUUAACGCCGUAAACCCAAGGUUUCCUACGCGAUGCUCGUCAUCGUAGGGUUAGUCGGGUCCUAAGUCGAGUCCGAAAGGGGUAGACGAUGGCAAAUUGGUUAAUAUUCCAAUACCAACAUUAGUGUGCGAUGGAAGGACGCUUAGGGCUAAGGGGGCUAGCGGAUGGAAGUGCUAGUCUAAGGUCGUAGGAGGUUGUACAGGCAAAUCCGUAUAACAAUACUCCGAGAACUGAAAGGCUUUUUGAAGUCUUCGGAUGGAUAGAAGAACCCCUGAUGCCGUCGAGCCAAGAAAAGUUUCUAAGUUUAGCUAAUGUUGCCCGUACCGUAAACCGACACAGGUGGGUGGGAUGAGUAUUCUAAGGCGCGUGGAAGAACUCUCUUUAAGGAACUCUGCAAAAUAGCACCGUAUCUUCGGUAUAAGGUGUGGUUAGCUUUGUAUUAGGAUUUACUCCGAAAGCAAGGAAACUUACAACAAAGAGUCCCUCCCGACUGUUUACCAAAAACACAGCACUCUGCUAACUCGUAAGAGGAUGUAUAGGGUGUGACGCCUGCCCGGUGCUCGAAGGUUAAUUGAUGGGGUUAGCAUUAGCGAAGCUCUUGAUCGAAGCCCGAGUAAACGGCGGCCGUAACUAUAACGGUCCUAAGGUAGCGAAAUUCCUUGUCGGUUAAAUACCGACCUGCAUGAAUGGCGUAACGAGAUGGGAGCUGUCUCAAAGAGGGAUCCAGUGAAAUUGUAGUGGAGGUGAAAAUUCCUCCUACCCGCGGCAAGACGGAAAGACCCCGUGGACCUUUACUACAGCUUGACACUGCUACUUGGAUAAGAAUGUGCAGGAUA